GAAUGAAUAGUAUCGUACCCCAUAUUUUGUCCAUCCUUCAUAUGUUUUCUAGUGUCACUUUAUUUCGAAUAACUGAAAUGACACAAUUGGUAGAAGAGCAUGUGUAAGGAGUUACAAGCACGAGGUCCUAGGUUUUAGUCCCACAUUUUUCAUUUUUAUCUUUUUUCUCUUUUAUUUGUUUUUACCCUUAUUUGUAAAAAAAAUCAAAAAAAUCAUAUUUUUAUUUAUUUUUGUUAUAAUUUU
rnacentral:lncRNA from 1 species